ACUGCCACCCACAGUCAUUGCCAAAAUCCCAUGUUUGUCAGACUUCAGCUGAAGCUGCUGCUAUUCUUAUCCAUCUCCCUACCAACGUUUAAGUUUAAGUUUAAGUUUGUUUGUUUAGAUGGGUGGGGUGUAAGUAAGCAAGUAAAUUAAGGAGGAGGCCAACAGAUUGAUUUGUAUGAGAAGGAAGAUAAGAUACGUACGCUCUUUCAAUGGACUCUGCUGGGGCUGAUGCCCCUGAAUAAAAAUAACAAAAAGAGCCCAGUCGCAGUACCACGAAUGUGGAUUGUUAUCCACGCUUAACUAGGGCAAGUUGAAUACAAAUUAUUGUUGCAGCUCUCAUAACUACUCUUAAGACUUUGAUGUCCGAUGCUCAUAUGCCGCCAGUUAUAUGCAUUAACCAUUACCAAUUAAGUACUUCAAUAAGGUAAUGAAAAUUAUUUACGGGAGGGUUCUAGUGAUGGAAUUUAUAGGUGGAAUCCCUAUUCUAAAGCUUGGUGAUGAGAUAGAAAAAAGAGGCAUAAAUCCUGUUGAGAAAGUAGCAAUGGCAGCUAAGAAUCCUCACCCCGGGAACAUUUCGAUCUGUAAAGGUUCUGAGGCAAGUUUUCUGAAACAAUUGUAUGUUCUCUCAUAAAAAUCAGUAUCUUUGUCUCACUAAUAGGUUGCAUUGCUCAACUAUGGCCAAGUGAAGGAUCUUCCUGAAAAUUUGAGGUUAGGAUAUGCUAGUCUGGCGCUUGCUAUUGCAGAUGGUGAUCCCACAAAGACAGCUGUAAGCUCCAGGUGCUACAAAGAUUGUGCGAAUUUCCUCCCAUCCGACACAACUUUCUGAGGACUAUUGAAAGACUUGUGUCCAAAAAAGCUAUAUGUGCUUCUCCAUUCGAUGGAAAUAGACAAAUGUAAGAUAUUGAAUCGUCCCAUUACAGACGAAUCCACAGCUGCCGUAGUAUUUCUAGAAGAAUACCUGCAAGGUAGGCUGUGUUGGUAUUGGAUAUGAGUGACAGGGUCUCAAUGCCGGACAGAUCCUUGUAUUGUACAAUAAGAUGUAUUGAAAGAAACGAGAUGAAGAGACUGUCAAGUGCAUGGAGGAGUUUUGAUGUGUUUUGAUAAAAUGAAAGGCGGACUUAAAUCUUUUCCAUACACAUCUUGUCCCAUUGUCAUUUUAUUUUAGACUUACAUAAUAAAUUAUAGUUAAAUAUACAAAGCACACGCUAAAAUUCCAACAAACUGCAACUGGUAAAGCCCAACCCCAUGGAACAUUUUCCAUUCUAUUGUUAUUCAUCCUUACUCUUGGCUAUAGUUUGAUUCAUGCUCAUGCUCAUGAGUCAUAAAUCUUCUCUCUGCCCUUGGCAUACUCCAAAACCUCGCAUAAACAUGCUUUUAAGGGUCUUUGUUACUAGAAUAUUUCGGUGUCUCCUCAUCAUUACACCCAUUCUUGUUGGGUUUUGCUCAUAAUACCUUGGCAGGAUCUGAGGAUUGACAAAUUCACUGCAGAUUCCAUCUGUAUGCAUACUGCCAAAAGGCCCAAUAUAAGAGUCAAAAAUAGUUGUACAAAAUUGUAGAAUGACAGAAAGUAUGCUUGCUCUUGUUUGGCUGGAUGGAUGUAUUGUACAUUAGAAUAUGCUAAGACAAAUACAAAGCAUAAAAGCUUCGUUGUGAUUAGAAUAAUCCACUCAGAAAAAGGUUGAA